rnacentral:rRNA from 1 species
GAUGAACGCUGGCGGCGUGCUUAACACAUGCAAGUCGAACGGAAAGGCCGAAGCUUGCUUCGGUACUCGAGUGGCGAACGGGUGAGUAACACGUGGGUGAUCUGCCCUGUACUUCGGGAUAAGCUUGGGAAACUGGGUCUAAUACCGGAUAUGACGACCUCCUGGAUGGGGUUGUGGAAAGCUUUUGCGCUGUGGGGUGAGCUCGCGGCCUAUCAGCUUGUGGGGGGGGGAAUGGCGUACCAAGAGGUCGACGGGUAGCCGGCGUGUGAGGGGGUACGGCGACAUUGGGAGAGAGAGAUGGGCCAGACACCUACGGGAGGCAGAGGUGGGGGAUAUUGCGCAAUGGGCGCGAGCCUGAUGCAGAGACGCGGCGUGGGGGAUGACGGCCUUUGGGGUGUAAACUCCUUUCGCGAUCGACGAGGACUGUUGGUGACGGUAGGUGGAGAAGAAGCACCGGCUAACUACGUG